GCCACGGUGGUCUAGCGGUUAGAACGCUGGCCUGUAAUCCUGGGGUCUCGGGUUCGAUUCCCGGCGGUGCCC
rfam:Zootermopsis nevadensis contig7781, whole genome shotgun sequence.